AUAAAUAUUUUAUUUUCUCCUAUAUAAUAAGUCAGUAUGGCUGCUCAAGCAGACAUGACACCGUCAACAUGUCUGCUUGAGAAAAAGGGUAUUUUCGUAAUUUUAAUAAAUUUUAACUCUCACCGUCUCAACUUCUCUUCUUUAAUCCAAUUAUAGAACCGCCUCACUGUGUUCCUUAUCCAUUUCCAUCGCUAAAUUUUUUUUUCUUCCCUCUUUGGCUUUUCUCCUUAUAAUUCCAUCGAGCAAAGAUUGAUGUUUCUGCCGGUUUGAAGUUUGUUUCUUGUCUGUGUUUCGCUGCUAUCAAAGGUAAUUGCAUCAUGAUUUUAUCUGUCGCUCUAAUUUUGCCUGGUUCUUACAAUAUAUAGCCGCUUGGCUAUCUUCCUUAUCCAAUUCUGCUGCUCAUUGUUUCCUGUUCGGCUUUUCGAUCGAUCAAAGAUUGGUGUUUCUGCGGAUUUGAAGUUCUUUCCUUCUUUGUGUUUUGCUGCUAUCACGGUAAUUGCAUCGUAAUUUUAUUUCAUCUUUCGUUGUUCCUUGUUCGGCUUUUCGAUCGAGCAAAGAUUGGUGCCGCUAACUCUUUCGUUGUUUGUUCUUCGAUUUUUCGAUCGAGUAAAGAUUGGUGCUUCUGCGGAUUUGAAGUUGUUUCCUUGUUUGUGUUUUGCUGCUAUCGAGGUAAUUGCAUCGUAAGUUUAUUUGAAAAUUUGCGAAAUUGCCUUUGUUGCUCUUUUCUUGCUCUGAAUUUGCCUUUCUUCUGCUAGAGAACAAAACCCACAAAGCUAAACUCUGUAGAAUCAACCAGAUCUGAUUAUAAUUCUUCCCGGAACAACCAAUUCAAUUACACACACAAAAAAAGGGUUUCGCAAAAAGGAAUGAGUGAAUAUGCAAUCUACUUACCUUGUGUUGAAUAAAUAAAGCCAAAAAAGGAUGAAUUUGUAGUGUUGGGGACCAAAUUUCAGCACUAUUAUAUUUUUAAGUAAGGACCAAUUUAGCGAUACCUUAUUUAGUGCUUCCUAUUCUGUUUUGUUUAGGUGCUCAUUCACAGUGCGAUUUUGUACAUAUUUUUAUAAUGAAAAUACAAACACACCACACACUCCUCCAAAGUGUUUUGUGCUGUUUGUUUUUGCAGCUUUGGCAAUGGGUACCACACAAGCUGAGUUGACCAGAACUGCUGGAAAGCCAAUUCAUUGCAAAAUAAACAUGCUGGAAAGCCAAUUCAUUGCAAAAUUAACAAUCUUUUUUGGUUUAUGUGGAAGUAGUUUUAGUUAGUGCAAAAAAUCACUUAGUUGUGAGUGACAUUACAGCUGCGGUGGCAAGAAAACCAGAACCUCUGGUGAUAGAGGAAGUGAUUGUGGCUCCCCCUCAAGUCCAUGAAGUUCGCCUAAAAAUCAUUUGUACUUCUCUCUUUCACAGGGACGUUACCUUCUGCAAGUUGAAAGACUUUCCUAGAUGCUUUGCAAGAAUAUUGGAACACGAGGUUUUUGGGUACUUUCAGUUUAUUCACCUGUCAAGCUCUUUUGUCGGUUGUAAAGGGUUAUUUUAGUAAAUGUUACUCCCUCCAUUUGGAUUUAAACUGUCAAGCUCUUUUGUCGGUUGUAAAGGGUUAUUUUAGUAAAUGUUACUCCCUCCAUUUGGAUUUAAG